UACACUCCUACGGGAGGCAGCAGUGGGGAAUUUUGGACAAUGGGCGAAAGCCUGAUCCAGCAAUGCCGCGUGGGUGAAGAAGGCCUUCGGGUUGUAAAGCUCUUUUGUCAGGGAAGAAACGGUGAAAGCUAAUAUCUUUUGCUAAUGACGGUACCUGAAGAAUAAGCACCGGCUAACUACGUGCCAGCAGCCGCGGUAAUACGUAGGGUGCAAGCGUUAAUCGGAAUUACUGGGCGUAAAGCGUGCGCAGGCGGUUUUGUAAGUCUGAUGUGAAAUCCCCGGGCUCAACCUGGGAAUUGCAUUGGAGACUGCAAGGCUAGAAUCUGGCAGAGGGGGGUAGAAUUCCACGUGUAGCAGUGAAAUGCGUAGAUAUGUGGAGGAACACCGAUGGCGAAGGCAGCCCCCUGGGUCAAGAUUGACGCUCAUGCACGAAAGCGUGGGGAGCAAACAGGAUUAGAAACCCCUGUAGUCCCA
rnacentral:rRNA from 1 species